UAUAUUGGCUUUUCUUUUUUUAAUUUAUUAGUUUUUUUAGUUUAGAAUACAUUAGUAGCUUUAGAAAAUAUACAUUCGGUAGUUAGUUUAGAAAAAAUAUAUGCAAAAGCAGUACAUAUAGUUAGUUUAAAAUAUAUGGAUUUAGCUUAGAAAGCAGUACUUGUUAACGUUAACUUAGAAAGUAUAUGCUAUUAGUAUUUAGAAAUGAU
rnacentral:lncRNA from 1 species